GUUGUCUGAAAGAAGGCUGUGAGUUAAUAAGCCAGGCUCUGGGUCUCUUCACUAACAUCUACGGAGCUCUGCAUCAGGAUGUCUGCGGUUACUGGGACGCAUACACUACAUCCUCAGAGAGGUAUCACAUGUUCUAGAAUGACAGAUGAGCCUAAAUAAAUAAUUUAAAAAUGACAUUUUGAAACAAACUUUGAAUUUUAUGCUGUCAGGCCCUCGGUCACCAGCAGAGGGCUGUGCUGAUCAGUGAGAGAGUUCUGGGAAUUGAGCAUCCUAACACUAUACAGGAAUAUGUAAGUAAACAUCUUUAUUUAUUCAAAUAAAUUUACCUCUGGUUUACUAUAGUAUCAUACAGUUAUGCUGGCAUCAAUAUAUGAACAGGACAAUCAAAGUUCUUUCCCCUUUGUGUAGAAGCACCUUGGUCUUUAUUGCUUUGCUGGGGGCCAGUCCGUGACAGCGCUGUGAUUACUUUACCGUGCUCGCUACCUGAUGCCCCUGGUGUGUGAAGAGGACCACCCUGAGAUGGCUUUAAUGGAUAGUAAGAUAGGUCUUGUGCUUCAUUGUAUGUUGGCCUGUGUUCUUGCCCUGACCUCCAAAUAUCAGGGACCCUCAUCUCUCAAACUGGCAUAAAGGUGAAUACUGAACAGAAACACAAACACAUCGUGAUGGAUACAGUACUCAUAAAUUCUCAACCUGACAAAAAACAUAAAUGAAAAGUGAUUCAAAACUGAAAUUAUCCUGUCCCUCUUUACAGUCAUCACUUUUGGCAAAGGUGCAUGAAAGUAAAGGAGAUUUCCGUACUGCAUUGCCGCAUGAAAAGGAGCGUUAUGGCAUAUACAGAAAGCAGGUUGGAGAAGACCAUGAGAAGACCCAAGAAAGUUCAGAGACCUAAAGCAUCUGACACAUCAAGCAGUGAUUCUACAGAAAACUAUGAACUGGAUCUGCAAAACUGGCUCAGACACCAAUAUUCUCCCUCUCAGUGUUAGUAUUGUACAUAACAUAGAGAAUACGUGUGUCUUAGUUGAUGCAUAGUUGUAUAAUAAUGAUUAAUUAAUUACACUGUCUUUGGCUUUGCUUCAUCCUCAUAUAGCUGAACUCUCAAAGUUGUCUGGAUAACAGAGCAACUAAAUCUUGUCAUUGGGAUUGUCCUUUUUCUCUUAGGUAAGAGAGACCUGAAAGUGUACUAGGAACUGUUUAAUUGGUCUUUAACAUUUAAUGACUCUUUAACAUGCAACCAUAUUUUUAUUCCCUGAAGUAACCUUUAGAAACUCAUGACUGAUGCUCAGAAAAUGUGUAUAUAUAUAUGUGUG
ensembl:lncRNA